CAAUUAGGGAUGGGCAAUAAAUGCUGGGCCCAGCCAUUCCAGGGAUUGACCAGCGACGUGUGAAUAAUUUUCAAACAGCCCUGCCUGUCCUCCGUGAACGAAUCCCAUUCUCUCUCCCUGUCUCCAGUCAGGCAAGGUCAGUGCUGAUAACACAGUCGGUAGAUUUCUCAUCGAUUUGGUGAACAAGGUCCCAAAGAUCUCAGCCCAGGAUUUUGAAGCCAUGCUGAAUAGUAACAUCAACGACUUACUGAUGGUGACUUACCUCUCGAACCUCACGCAGGCUCAGAUUGCUCUGAACGAGAAGCUCGUCGCUUUAUAGCUCUCCUGGAGGGAGCGAUGAGCCUCGGGCUGAGGAGGGAUGAGCUGUCCGGGGAAGAAAGUCUUGGUGUGUUGAUCAAUAAAUCCCCCGCCAACCCCGUCGCAAAAAUAAAGUUUCACUGUUGAGUA